GCUCAACCGAGGAAGUGCUUCGAAAACUGGUAAACUUGAGUGCAGAAGAGGAAAGUGGAACUCCAUGUGUAGCGGUGGAAUGCGUAGAUAUAUGGAAGAACACCAGUGGCGAAGGCGGCUUUCUGGUCUGUAACUGACGCUGAGAUUCGAAAGCAUGGGUAGCAAACAGGAUUAGAUACCCUGGUAGUCCAUGCCGUAAACGAUGAGUGCUAAGUGUUGGAGGGUUUCCGCCCUUCAGUGCUGCAGCUAACGCAUUAAGCACUCCGCCUGGGGAGUACGACCGCAAGGUUGAAACUCAAAGGAAUUGACGGGGGCCCGCACAAGCGGUGGAGCAUGUGGUUUAAUUCGAAGCAACGCGAAGAACCUUACCAGGUCUUGACAUACCAUGAAAAGCUUAGAGAUAAGUCUUUCCCUUCGGGGACAUGGAUACAGGUGGUGCAUGGUUGUCGUCAGCUCGUGUCGUGAGAUGUUGGGUUAAGUCCCACAACGAGCGCAACCCUUAUUAUCAGUUGCCAGCAUUCAGUUGGGCACUCUGGUGAGACUGCCGGUGACAAACCGGAGGAAGGUGGGGACGACGUCAAAUCAUCAUGCCCCUUAUGACCUGGGCUACACACGUGCUACAAUGGUCGGUACAACG
rnacentral:rRNA from 1 species